UACGAGGGGGGCAAGCGUUGUUCGGAAUUACUGGGCGUAAAGCGCGCGCAGGCGGCCAUUCAAGUCAGGGGUGAAAGCCCAGAGCUCAACUCUGGAACUGCCCUUGAAACUGUAUGGCUUGAGUAUGAGAGAGGUGAGUGGAAUUCCCAGUGUAGAGGUGAAAUUCGUAGAUAUUGGGAAGAACACCGGUGGCGAAGGCGGCUCACUGGCUCGAUUACUGAGCUCAGGCGCGACAGCGUGGGGAUCAAACAGG
rnacentral:rRNA from 1 species